AGAGCGUGGAGCCCAUAACUCAAAAAAAACGGGGCGACCCCGAAAAGCCAAAUGAGUAGGAAAAAC
rfam:Emticicia oligotrophica DSM 17448, complete genome.